GGCGGGGCCGAGGGGGCCGAACCCACGGGGGGAGGGGCGGCAUAAAUCACGUGACGCGGUUUCACUGUUUACACGAGGAGCGGGCCGAGCGUUCGGCCUCAGUCAGGCGCUCGUCUCCGUUUCGGUU
ensembl:misc_RNA